UACGUAGGGGGCAAGCGUUGUCCGGAAUUAUUGGGCGUAAAGAGCGUGUAGGCGGUCCGGUAAGUCAGCUGUGAAAGUCAAGGGCUCAACCCUUGAAUGCCGGUUGAUACUGUCGGGCUAGAGUCCGGAAGAGGCGAGUGGAAUUCCCGGUGUAGCGGUGAAAUGCGCAGAUAUCGGGAGGAACACCAAUGGCGAAGGCAGCUCGCCGGAGCGGUACUGACGCUGAGACGCGAAAGCGUGGGGAGCAAACAGG
rnacentral:rRNA from 1 species